GCCAACGACCAUACCACGUUGAAUACACCAGUUCUCGUCCGAUCACUGAAGUUAAACAACGUCGGGCGUAGUUAGUACUUGGAUGGGUGACCGCUUGGGAACACUACGUGCCGUUGGCU
rnacentral:rRNA from 2 species